UACGGGGGGAGCAAGCGUUGUUCGGAUUUACUGGGCGUAAAGGGCGCGUAGGCGGCCACUGCAAGUCAGUUGUGAAAUCUCCGGGCUUAACUCGGAAAGGUCAACUGAUACUGCAGGGCUAGAGUGCGGAAGGGGCAACUGGAAUCCUCGGUGUAGCGGUGAAAUGCGUAGAUAUCGAGAGGAACACCUGCGGCGAAGGCGGGUUGCUGGGCCGACACUGACGCUGAAGCGCGAAAGCUAGGGGAGCGAACGGG
rnacentral:rRNA from 1 species